UACGGAGGGUGCAAGCGUUAUCCGGAUUCACUGGGUUUAAAGGGUGCGUAGGCGGAUAGGUAAGUCCGUGGUGAAAUCCUGCAGCUUAACUGCAGAACUGCCGUGGAUACUAUCUAUCUUGAAUGUCGUGGAGGUUAGCGGAAUAUGUCGUGUAGCGGUGAAAUGCUUAGAUAUGACAUAGAACACCCAUUGCGAAGGCAGCUAACUACGCGAUAAUUGACGCUGAUGCACGAAAGCGUGGGGAUCAAACAGGA
rnacentral:rRNA from 1 species